rnacentral:rRNA from 1 species
GUGUCAGCAGCCGCGGUAAUACGUAGGGGGCGAGCGUUAAUCGGAAUUACUGGGCGUAAAGCGUGCGUAGGCGGCUGAUUAAGUCGGAUGUGGAAGCCCCGGGCUUAACCUGGGAAUUGCAUUCGAUACUGGUCAGCUAGAGUCUGGUAGAGGUAAGUGGAAUUCCGGGUGUAGCGGUGAAAUGCGUAGAUAUCCGGAGGAACACCAGUGGCGAAGGCGGCUUACUGGACCAAGACUGACGCUGAGGUACGAAAGCGUGGGGAGCAAACAGGAUUAGAUACCCUGGUAGUCCACGCCCUAAACGAUGUCUACUAGCCGUUGCGGGUAUCGACCCCUGCAGUGGCGCAGCUAACGCGAUAAGUAGACCGCCUGGGGAGUACGGCCGCAAGGUUAAAACUUAAAGGAAUUGACGGGG